GUCGUCCUUCCCCUGGUGCGAUCCCUUCGCCCUUGGUUCAGCCUUGAGCGGUCGCAGAUCCUCGAGGAGCGAUCUGAGCUACUCUCGCACCUCCCCCGACCCGCACGCCCUCUCUCCACGCUCCAGCCGCCACCGCGGCCCCCAAACCCUUCACCCUCCUUUGGCCGCCCCCGCCCCUCCCCUCCCUAUCCGCAUCGCCUCGAGCGUUGGCCGGCGGCAUCCCCACCACACCCAGAUCGACCAGCCACCUCACAUCGAUGCUGGCAGACUCGCGGCACGGCGAUGCCUAAGCCGCCGCCGCGGCGUCAAUCCGCCCACCGCCCUCUCCGAUCUUGCGUCCCCCACCCGAACCGGAAACCCUACUGCAUGCCGCCCCGCCUCCUCCACUCGACAUCGCCCCACAACGGGGCCACCGCCGCUCCGGCGAUGUGUGCUUGUGGAUCUGCGAUGCCCGGGCGACACAUGCGUUGAGGAUCCGCGACCAUCCCGCCGGGAUGUUGCUGCCGCCGCCGCGGAUGCGCGCGUUGCGAUUCCGUACUACCGCUGGCAACUCCCGCCGCUCGCCGCGGAUCCACAAUCGCCCCGCCGUGACUACUGCCGCUGCGGACGCGCGCACCGCCGACACCCCCGACGCGCACGCGACUCACGCCGCCCCGCCGCCGUGCCGCGCAGAUCCAGACGGGCGGAUCCGCGGCGAUGUGUGCUGUGGAUCCGCGACGCCCGGGUGACGGCACCAAAUGCCGGCGCCGCCAAAUGCCGCCCCGCGGCCUCCGCCCUACAUUCCUUUUAGUUGCUUCAUAGUCUUUGCCAUGGCUAUUCUGUGACCGUCGUCGAUCUGUUACUGAACCAAUUGAUGAAUUACCAUUGCGUAGUACACUGUUUCGCAUGGUCUAAAUACAUGUCAUGUGCUUUUUUGUAUUGCUAUGUGCUUGCUGGUAGGUUGUAUAUCUCACUGCAAUUGGAAUGAUUUUAAGAUUGCCAUGUGCUUUUCAUGAUUAGAUCUAAAUAUCAGGAUUUAGAGAUAACUCUGAAUUUUAUUGAUAUCUCGACAUAUCAAUUUACUUUUCCUUCUUUUUACAUCUUCUUAUCCGGUAAUUCUGUCAUGCAGUACUAAUGAAACCAUGCAAUGGAAUGCAGGUAAGAACUAUUUUAGCCAUGGAGCUUAGCUGGCGUGCUUCAUAAGAUGGGAUUUGCUGUAGCUGAACAAUAAUAUUUGCCUUUAUAGAGGAUGCACGGUACAAUGUGAAAAGAAUUCACAUAUCAUAUACACAUGAAAAAUUGCUUUCCAAAAUUUGGCUCAUUAAAUACUUAAGUUGUGGUCUUCGUGAUCAGUAUAUACGGCAUGCAAUUUUCCAAAAUUUCUGUUCUCUUUUUACAGCAUUACUUGCUUACAGCCUGCCUGAUGGCCCAAGAGUUUGAUCUGCCUGCCUACUUGAUCUGUUUUUGGUAAUUAUAUAGGAAAAGGAAGAACAUGUUGGGCUGGAGAUGUUCAAUUCUACUGGCCCAUAUACAGAACAGACAAGUACAGUUGGUUAUUUGUUUCUACUCCGUUGGCAUAUUUAAUGUGCUCCUCUGAAACUCAAAAUUAUGAAUUAGAUAAUUGUACCAGGUGAGUUUUAUGGGGAUGAAACUCCUCUCUCAUCCCAUGAAACUCCCUUGUCAUGUCAACAAAAUUGAUGAUGUGGUAUAGAAUUAAAUAUCAUGAAACUCUCCAUGAAAUCCCCAUUGAGACUGGCCUUAGUAUUUAUUUAAUUAUAUGCCGCUGAUUCCAAAAAAAAAACACAAGUGCUGCUCAUCACUAUAUUAUUUGUCCUUUGAUCAUAUGUCUUUCUUAUUUUCUGUGCGUACCAAAUUAUUGUUGGAUGCACAUGAAGAAAAGAAGGAAAAAAAAACUAUAUCAUGUAUGUAGUUCUGAAUACAUAUGGAUGAUGAGAUAAUUAGUUUGUUCAUCCAACGCCUCA